CCUACGGGUGGCAGCAGUGGGGAAUAUUGGACAAUGGGCGGAACCCUGACCCAGCGACGCCGCGUGAGGGAAGAAGUAUUUCGGUUUGUAAAGUUCUAUCAUCAGGGAAGAAAGAAAUGACGGUACCUGACUAAGAAGCCCCGGCUAACUACGUGCCAGCAGCCGCGGUAAUACGUAGGGGGCAAGCGUUAUCCGGAUUUACUGGGUGUAAAGGGAGCGUAGGCGGGGAAGCAAGUCAGAAGUGAAAGGCGCGGGCCCAACCCGUGGCCUGCUUUGGAAACUGUAUGGCUGGAGUGCUGGAGAGGUAAGUGGAAUUCCUAGUGUAGCGGUGAAAUGCGUAGAUAUUAGGAGGAACACCAGUGGCGAAGGCGGUCUGCUGGACUGUAACUGACGUUGAGGCGCGAAAGCGUGGGGAGCAAACAGGAUUAGAUACCCUUGUAGUC
rnacentral:rRNA from 1 species